UUCCCUUCAUUUCCUCAGAGAUUUCAUCCCUUAAUUGUAUCAGAGAGCAGGGCAGACCCUCAGAGUCACUCUCUUGUACAGGAUCUGGAAACCCAGGAGGAUUCCUCUCCCUCAGGACCAGAGAGAGGACGACAUUCUAGUGUUGGUCCCAUUUUCCUUCUCUCUUUGUGGGAAGCCAGCCCAGGAGAUCUACAGGCGAUCAGGGAGACGUCUUGUGUUCCCUGGUACCCGUGAGCUGCAGCAUCUCCUUCCCGUUCUCCAGGUGUCUGCGAGCCUCUCCACGCACGUGCCCUCCAGAAAACAGACAGAGGCAGCAGAUGGAGAUGUGACAGAUUCUCUAGUGGGAAGGCUUUGAUCAUAAUACCUGGCAAGCCAGAAUGAUGCCAGCAACCCCAAAGGAGCUGCCAAUGGAUCUUGACAGGAAAAUCACUGACUCUGGAUUGGGCUAUGCUCAACCAGGGGUAGAUGUCAAUGCUUCAAGGGCUAUACAAGGACCAGAAAAGAAGAGGUUGCACCAAUUUGGACUGCCGAGUCACACUACUUUACACAAGAAAACACACUUGACAGCCUCAAACGGCCAACAAUGCAGAGGGACAUGUCCUCCUCAGGGGAAAAUUUGAUAGAAAAUUGAAAUGGUCAAUUGAAACAUUGUUUGUCUAAAAACUGCCAAUCUAAUUGUUGGGCAAUAUAAACAUGAAGGACUGGCUUUUAUAUCUUCAUGAAUGUGCUCGCUGUCAACAUGAGUGGGGCUGCAAGAAUAACUCCACUAGGUAGCAUCCUCUCUUUUACCUGAUGGAUCAGGACGAUGCUGUUACGACGAUACAUACAAUUCUUCUGAAGGGGAGAGGAUGCUGGAAUAAAGACUACACUUCACCUCAAAUUUAUUUUUUCAUAUGUUAUGCCAUAGUACCAGGAAUAGGGAUGUAAAUAAAAGUGCCAGAAACAGGAAUUAUCCCUAAGCGAAAAACCAUAACUAUAUUUUUACACCUUUAUGUAAGAAUUCUCAAGUAUUCAUUUCAUCUGAAAAGUUAGGAUUAACAGUAAGUAGAGUUAUAUAGCCUGGUGGUCUGAUAGCCCCCACUAGUUCCUUACCUAUAUAACCUACCCUCUAUGAUCAAGACUAGACUGAGGGAAGACAUGCUAGAAUACUAUUGCUGCCUGCAGUCUAGGCCAGCCCAGCAGACAAACCUAAUGUCACUCCCAAACCUGGAAACAACUGAUAUAAAGGGACAGAGGGAGGAAUAGUGGCUGAGGGUAAGUGAAUAAAUCAAAGGGUUAUAUAAUGAGAAAAAUUCAAUAUUAGCUUAACUCCUCAAAGGUGGUGUGAGCAAGAGAAGAUAUUGUCACUUAGGUCAAUUAUACGGGAUGCCUAAAAGAGUGAAGCUGUAUGUCCCUGAGACCAUCCUUGUUUUUGGAACCUGGUAAGAUUGAGUGUUGUCAGCAAAGCUGAGUGAUUUCAUUCUGGGAGACAUAUUCAUACAAGAGGAUGAUAAACUGGCCUAAUUUUGAAUGAAUGGAUGAGACUCUGAUAAUAUGCCAAUACCUCUUUACUGUUACAAUCCUUUUUCCUGUAAAAGAUAUGUGGUCAAAGAAAAGUGGGCAAUCUGAGUUAUCACAAAAACAUUUAGUCUUUGUCCCUGGUUUCUCCUAAAAACCUUAGACUCUCUUGAGUGAUAAGAGUGUCUUUAGAGUACUGAUGAGAAGACUCUUGGCUGAGUGGAUCCUGGAUAUCUUAAGAACGGUGGCUAGCUGCCAGAGACACAUACCUGUGAUGCGAGGGUUAUCUUUUUCCAUUUUGUGUUGCUAUAAAGAAAUGUCUGAGACUGACUAAUUUAUAUAAACGAGGUUCAUGUGGCUCAAGAUUCUGAUGUCUGGAAAUGUUUGCGCAUUUAGUGAGGGCCUCAGGCUGCUUCCACUCAUGGCAGAAGACAAAGGGGAGCUGGUAUA